GGGUGAGUAACGCAUGGGAAUCUACCUGGUAGUGGGGGAUAACUUAGGGAAACUUAAGCUAAUACCGCAUACGCACUACGGUGGAAAGCGGGGGAUCUUCGGACCUCGCGCUAAUAGAUGAGCCUGCGUUAGAUUAGCUUGUUGGUGGGGUAAAGGCCUACCAAGGCGACGAUCUAUAGCUGUUCUGAGAGGAAGAUCAGCCACACUGGGACUGAGACACGGCCCAGACUCC
rnacentral:rRNA from 1 species